rnacentral:rRNA from 1 species
GACGAACGCUGGCGGCGUGCUUAACACAUGCAAGUCGAACGAAGAGCGACGGAAGCUUGCUUCUAUCAAUCUUAGUGGCGAACGGGUGAGUAACGCGUAAUCAACCUGCCCUUCAGAGGGGGACAACAGUUGGAAACGACUGCUAAUACCGCAUACGAUCUAACCUCGGCAUCGAGGAUAGAUGAAAGGUGGCCUCUACAUGUAAGCUAUCACUGAAGGAGGGGAUUGCGUCUGAUUAGCUAGUUGGAGGGGUAACGGCCCACCAAGGCGAUGAUCAGUAGCCGGUCUGAGAGGAUGAACGGCCACAUUGGGACUGGGACACGGCCCAGACUCCUACGGGAGGCAGCAGUGGGGAAUCUUCCGCAAUGGACGAAAGUCUGACGGAGCAACGCCGCGUGAGUGAUGACGGCCGUCGGGUUGUAAAGCUCUGUUAAUCGGGACGAAAGGCCUUCUUGCGAAUAGUGAGAAGGAUUGACGGUACCGGAAUAGAAAGCCACGGCUAACUACGUG